UACAGAGGUGCCAAGCGUUAGGCGGAAUCACUGGGCUUAAAGGGCGCGUAGGCGGUCCGACAAGUCAGGGGUGAAAUCCUGCAGCUUAACUGCAGAAGUGCCUUUGAUACUGUCGGUCUUGAGGGAGAUAGGGGUGUGCGGAACUCACAGUGGAGCGGUGAAAUGCGUUGAUAUUGUGAGGAACGCCGGAGGCGAAAGCGGCGCACUGGAUCUCUUCUGACGCUGAGGCGCGAAAGCUAGGGGAGCAAACGGG
rnacentral:rRNA from 1 species